UGGGAGGCAGGAAGUUUGAAAAAACGGCCACUGCCGCCCGCAAUGUCUCGCUGUCUCGGUCGUGGGUUCGUUAUUCAGUUGUGUGUCAUUCUAAGCCGUUAUGUACAUACAUUUAUACUGGAUAUUAACUGGAGUCAUUUAGCUGUGCUGAUGCUGUUUGCCCUGUGUUUUGCAUCAGUGCUUCGUGACAUCAGCUGUAUUGCGUGUUUUCGCCGACGGCUUACUACCACAAUGGCGGGAUCUGCGUUCGCCGCCUUCGUGUCUCCGUGCGUCUUUGUACGUCGCACGUUCGGAUAACACUUUUUCCGACGGCUGGACAUCCUUCUUGUACCUUGGCGCUAGCUGGAUGACGGGACCUCAUCAUGAUCAGUGUAUUGCUUGCCUAUGUCUACAAGAACCGUCACGCGUGGCCUGUGACAGCAAGCUUUUGUGGGCAGCAAGUGCUCUCCUACGAAGGCUGGCCUACUCUGGCAGCGGUGGCAAUCAUCUUCCAGAUUUAUCCAUGAUCACCUUUGCUGCUAUUUGUCACUCUUGUUAAUUGCACUUUCUGCAUCUUUUCUAAUUUAUUAGGUAAUAAAGUAUGAGUAUGUGACAUGGUGUGAAGUAGAUGUCUUGCUGCAUUUUCACUUGCAAUCAUCUUUUAUGCAUGAAAAGCUCAUCGUACAGUUUAUGAAAAAAAAUAACAGCAUAUUUUGAUUUAUCUUUCAGUUCUGGUAACAUGCAACGUGCAAGCAAUUCACUAAUGGAUGGUAUGCCGACGAACUGGCCAUUAUUUCGGUGUGAUGCUGUGCAAGCAUGUGGCGUUACUUACAAGAGGCACCCACAAAGUAAGUUACAAUUUACUUUUAAAUGAAGCAUGGACAUCAGAAAAUAUAUAUUUAUAUUGCUUGUUAGUGGUUUGCAGAGUAUUUUUCCAGAUGUGUACUAUCCUUUAUUUCUUAACUCAUUGCAGCACAGUGUUCUGUUUCGUAUACUGGUGUAAUGCUAUUGUGCCCCCUGUAGCUGAAACCAGGAUGUAAUUUUUGCCUGAACUGCAGCAUCACUGACAAUUUUCUUUGCUAGAAGCUAUUUCAAUUUGGUGGAGACCCAGCAG